GGAACUUGGGAUUCCAACGGCAGGCGGGAAGCGCUCUAGCUGGCGGCUCUGGCCUUGUGAGGGAUACCUAUGUCCCCCCCUUUUAUUUCCCUUUCAUCCAAUAAACCCUGCUUUACUUACCCUUUAAAUCAUCUGCGAGCCUUAAUUUUCAUGGCUGUGGGACAGACAAGAACCUUGUCUUUAGCUGAACUAAGAAAAAGUCCUGCAACAUCUUUCGGCGCGCAUUGUCGGGGCACCAGAAGCGGAAGUUUCUUGUGUAAAGGAAGCCCUAUGGAUGUUCUGUGAUCACUCACUCUCACAUCCAUAAUGGGUCAAGGUCAGUAGUCUCCGGAACUGUUUUGGCUUUACUUUAUCCAGCCCUCUGUUAACCCAAAUGCAUAAUUUUUGUGCCCACUUCACCCAGGA
rnacentral:lncRNA from 1 species